rnacentral:ncRNA from 2 species
UACCUUUGCACCCGCAUUGGUUUAGCUGCAACUUUUCGAGGGCAGCUAACGAAGAGGGAAUCAGGUGCAAAUCCUGAACAAGCCCGUUACUGUAAGUUCCAUGCAACAUUUUGACAGACAAAAAAGCUUUUUGAGGCUUUUAAAAUCUAAUCUUUUGCCACUGCAUUUUUCAUCAAAUGUGGGAAGGCGGUUCAAAAUGGGAAUAAGUCAGGAGACCUGCCACUGCAAAUAAAUUCAG